rnacentral:rRNA from 1 species
GACGUAGGGCGCGAGCGUUGUCCGGAUUUAUUGGGCGUAAAGAGCUCGUAGGCGGUGUGUCGCGUCGGCCGUGAAAACUUGCAGCUUAACUGUGGGCGUGCGGUCGAUACGGGCAUCACUGGAGUUCGGCAGGGGAGACUGGAAUUCCUGGUGUAGCGGUGAAAUGCGCAGAUAUCAGGAGGAACACCAGUGGCGAAGGCGGCUCACUGGUCCGGUACUGACGCUGAGGUGCGAAAGCGUGGGGAGCGAACAGG